GACGAACGCUAGCGACAGGCCUAACACAUGCAAGUCGAGGGGCAGCACAGAGGUAGCUUGCUACUUUGGGUGGCGACCGGCGCACGGGUGCGUAACAGGUGUGCAAUCUGUCCAUAAUCGGGGAAUAGCCCAGCGAAAGUUGGAUUAAUGCUCCAUGUGAGUAAGAGAGGCAUCUCUUUUAUUUGAAACGCAAGGAUUAUGGGUGAGCACGCUUCUGAUUAGGUAGUUGGUGAGGUAACGGCUCACCAAGCCGACGAUCAGUAGGGGUUCUGAGAGGAAGGUCCCCCACAUUGGAACUGAGACACGGUCCAAACUCCUACGGGAGGCAGCAGUGAGGAAUAUUGGUCAAUGGGCGAAAGCCUGAACCAGCCAAGUCGCGUGAAGGAUGACUGCCCUACGGGUUGUAAACUUCUUUUGUUUGGGAAUAAAAGACGCUACGUGUAGCGUUCUGCAUGUACCUUACGAAUAAGCAUCGGCUAAUUCCGUGCCAGCAG
rnacentral:rRNA from 1 species